CAACCAUUGAUACAUGCACCAUGGAUGAAUCUCAAAAAUCUGCUGAGUGAAGGAAGUAAGCCAAACAUAAAAGAGUACGUACUGAUUUACUCCAUUGAUAGAAAUUUUAGAGCAGGCAGAAUUAAUCUGUAACAACAGAAAGCAAGUCCAUGAUUGCUGGGGAACAAAGGGAGGGGCAGUACUGCAAAGAAGCUAAGGCAAUUUUGCGGGGUGGUGGCAUGACCAAAAUAUUCUGAAUCUAAUUGGAGCUGUGGCUCGUUGUUGUGUACAUUUAGUAAAACCCCUAACGCUGUGCCUUUAAAAUGGGUGCAUUUUAUUGCAUGUAAGUUAUAUCUCAAUAAAGUUGACUUUUUAAAACACAUUAACAUGUUUUUAAGAAUCACAGUAAGACCCUGGCUUAAACUAGAUUAUCGGCUUCCAUAGAGCACAGACUCUUGGAUAGACACUGUUUUACAAAACUCCAGUAUGCAGCUUAAUAUUGGGCACUCAUAAAAUAUUUUUGAGCAGACACCUGAGUGAAAGAAACAAGACCACACAUUAGGCUGAGCGUCGAGGAGUGAAGCUCCGUGAAGUCGGCCAACAAGGCUCAAGACCGGAGUUCAAGUCUGUGCUGAGGCUGGGUGAAGCUGUUGGAUAUAAAAAUUUUGUUUUAGAUUUGUUCAUCUUAACAUUUAUUUUUCUAUUGGAGAAAAAUAUGUGCAAUGUAAUCCACUAUGACUAGAAUAAAGCCUUUUGAAUGGCAGACAGGGAUUCAGACAAUUAACUGCCUGUGGAGUACUCUGUACAGGAAACAAUUUUACUGAAAU
rnacentral:lncRNA from 10 species